rnacentral:rRNA from 1 species
GUGGAUUAGAUACCCUAGUAGUCCACGCCGUAAACGAUGGAUACUAGCUGUUGGGCGCAAGUUCAGUGGCUAAGCGAAAGUGAUAAGUAUCCCACCUGGGGAGUACGAACGCAAGUUUGAAACUCAAAGGAAUUGACGGGGGCCCGCACAAGCGGUGGAGCAUGUGGUUUAAUUCGAUGAUACGCGAGGAACCUUACCAAGGCUUAAAUGCAGACUGACCGAUUUGGAAACAGAUCUUUCGCAAGACAGUUUACAAGGUGCUGCACGGCCGUCGUCAACU